AGUGAACGCUGGCGGCGUGCCUAAUACAUGCAAGUCGAGCGACAGCACGAGAAGCUCGUGCUCCUGCUGUUAGCGGCGGACGGGCGGGUAAGAAGUGGAUCGGCUACCUCUAUGACUGGGAUAACUACGGGGAAACGGUGAUACUAAUAGCGCAUAUUUCGUACCGCAUGGAUCAAAAGAGCUAGACGGCCUGGCCGUCUCUUUUAGAUGGUGCCGCGCUGCAUUAGCUAGUUGGUAAGGUAACGGCCUACCAAGGCAACGAUGCGUAGCCGAUCUGAGAGGGUGAUCAGCCACACUGGAACUGAGACACGGUCCAGACUCCUACGGGAGGCAGCAGUGGGGAAUCUUCCACAAUGGGCGAAAGCCUGAUCGAGCAAUGCCGCGUGAGUGAAGAAGGUCUUCGGGUCGUAAAGCCCUGUUGUUGGGAAAGAACAGAAGUAUGUUAAUCUCUGGACGUCUUGACGGUACCUAAAGAAAAAGCCACGGCUAACUUCGUG
rnacentral:rRNA from 1 species